CACACUUUUGCUUUCGUUUUCUAUAAAUGUUGAGGCAUCUGUCUGAUUUAUGACGGGAACGUGUUUGUUUCCCACCACUUCCUGUCUGUAAAAGAGGAAGGCGAGCAAAAAGCGUGGCUUUGUUUUAAGAACUGCUUUCUAAAGAGUAACGCUUAUUAAAAAAGAAGCCGGCUGCGAGAUAGAAUAAAACAUGUGAUUACAUUAAAGUAAACAUCUCUGCUGUGGGAAGGAGUUUCACUUUUAAAGGACAGUUCUGGGUUCCAGACAGCAGCUCUGGGUUGGUAGGAGGUUCCCACAGAUGUUCUCCUUUCACUUUAAAAGAACGAAACCUCAAAGCCUCGCAGACAGCGGCUGUAGCCGUCGGUCAUUCCAGGUAAGAAAAGUUUAGAUUGUUAAGAUGUUAAAGCAAUUACUUCUUUGCAAGCUGUUCUAUCUGUGGAGCAUGAUUUAUGCAUCAGAAGGAUUUGCUUCUUGUUUUAUCGUCCUAACAGGUGGAGCAGCUACUAUGUCUGAUCAUGAGACAGCAGAAGAUCGUCCGUUCAUUUCAACACAUCGUCAGUGCUCCUUUACCAUCACAAACAUGUCCUCUCAGUACACGCUGUCUGAACCCAGUCAUUACACCAUCAGUGGUCGCUGUGAUGAGAAGUUGCCACUUCUUGUCCCUCCAUGCUCAUCUGGGGACGCAAAGUUCGUGAAGACCGCCAACUCUGCCCGGGGAGCCGUCGGCGUCUUCACCUACACCCUGCACAACCAAUACACAAAACGGACCACCGGGAAGAUGGCCGUCAUGUUCUCCGUCCCCUUCGACUACAGCCUGUACUUUAACUGGUACGGACUGGGAAUCUUUGACAAGAGCACCGAGUGCAACAAGGAGCUUUUUGAUCUGAUGUAUGACAACAAAAUAGUUAGCACGUUUAGCACGGGUAAAGCCAGCGGGCCCAGCCUGACGUACAAGAAAGAUCAGGUUACCAUCACGGCAUCGAUGUCGGAUCAAUCAAAAUCAGUCAUUAAAGUGCUUGUCAAAGACAACUGGAAUUAGGGAAUUCAAGAGAAUUCAAGGGAAUUCAACUUUAUGCAUUUUUGACAAUAUUCUGCUUUGUCUCCUUUUGAAUUUAUACACAUUUCUGUCAUGUUUAGCCUCAAACACGAAGAACCAGUCACUGUUUGGUUAAAUAUGAUCCUUCAUUUGCUUCUUCUUUAUAGAAACAGCAAUGUGAGGUAAGACUGUAGAGCAGGGGUUUCAAACAUGCGGCCCACGGGCCAGAACCGGUCCUCCAGAGGGUCCAAUCCGGCCCGACUUUGUAAAGUGUAAAAAUUACACAGAAGACAUCAACUGCAGAUUGUAAAUUUGUAAAACUAUAAAAAAAAUUCCAGAUCAUGACAAGUUGUUUUGAUCGUAAAUUAAAAUACUAGAUUGCUCA